UACGGAAGGCAGCAGUGGGGAAUAUUGCACAAUGGGCGCAAGCCUGAUGCAGCCAUGCCGCGUGUAUGAAGAAGGCCUUCGGGUUGUAAAGUACUUUCAGUCGUGAGGAAGGUGUUAAGGUUAAUAACCUUAGCAAUUGACGUUAGCGACAGAAGAAGCACCGGCUAACUCCGUGCCAGCAGCCGCGGUAAUACGGAGGGUGCGAGCGUUAAUCGGAAUUACUGGGCGUAAAGGGCACGCAGGCGGUUAAUUAAGUUGGAUGUGAAAUCCCCGGGCUUAACCUGGAAAUGGCAUUCAAGACUGGUUAGCUAGAGUCUUGUAGAGGGGGUAGAAUUCCAUGUGUAGCGGUGAAAUGCGUAGAGAUGUGGAGGAAUACCGGUGGCGAAGGCGGCCCCUGGGACAAAGGCUGACGCUCAUGUGCGAAAGCGUGGGGAGCAAACAGGGAUUAGAUACC
rnacentral:rRNA from 1 species